AAAAACUUCAGCAGGGUGUUGUUCUCAUUGGAUAAGACUGUCUAUGAUUGGUUAAACAAAGUACAGAGGAGGUGGUGGGAAGAGGUUCUCAAAAAGGUCUGUGGAAAGUACCUAACUAUCAUUGGACUAUAUACUGUGUUCAACAGUGUGUGUGAACUUGAAAGCAGACGUUUGUUGAAAAUAUUGUGUGCAAGACAAAUGGAUAACUCUCAAAUCCAGCAGGACUUUGACAGAUAUGACUCAAAAGGACAACGCAGAGCUUUGAUGUUGUGUAUCAAGAAGGAUCACAAGGGUGCUGAUGGUAAUCUCGUAAUAAUGAAGAAACUUUUCACGGAUUAUGGUUUCCUGUAUGAAAUUGAGAUUAACCCAACUAUAGAGAUUAAAUCAGUGUUCCUAAAUCCUAAUCCGGUAUAAUCCAGCCAAGAGGCCUUUGAUCGACUGAUAGCUGACAUGUUUAGGUAAGAUUUGGGCCAUUUUUAGGCCACUGCUUUAAAUUCUUGUCAUAAUUUGUAUUUCGUUUUUCAUCAAUGACGUCUGUUCAUGGACUUUACUGAAAGUAAAAGAGUCAAAAUGAGUUAUUUGAAUAUGUCACAUGUUUACUUAGAACCAUUGUACUGCACCUGUCUGUACUCAUUUCUGUAAUGAACACAACAUAUUUGACAGAUAAUGACGUUUAAUAAUAAAACAAAAUAUGAUUAUUAAAAUCUUGUGAUAAAGACUGGUUGUCACACACAGUACAGUCACUUCAAUCAAAUCAUCGGAUGGAUGGAUAAAUAUAUAACAACACCAUAGAGGGGGAAAGAACA